UGGGGAUACUUAACAAAGAAACUGUUCUGUGAAAACGAAAACUCAGAACGAAAAUAUAUCUCCGGGAAGGAAAAAAGAAAACAAAUAAGGCAUUUUUUUGGAUCCACACGAGAUUACAUCUGGCUCGAACAUCAAGAGAUUCCCUAGCUUUUGCAUUAAACUAUUUUAUACAAAAAUAAUAGUAAUUAUUAUUGAUAGUGUUUUGUCGUUAAUGCUUUUCAUUGGUUACAUAGUCAUAUUCUGAAUCUGAUUCAUUGUAUGUGGGAGCUGAGGUUGUCCUUAGUUGGUCCACUGUUAUUACCACUAUUAUACAAUUUUGGAGAAACAGUAUUAAAACAUAUCCGUAGUAUAUUGUACUCUAUAUGUCAUAUAAUAUAUAUAUAUAUAUAUAUAUAUAAUAUCCAACUCGAGUUAAUCUGUCAGUUUGCCUAAUGUUAAUGAGAUCGUUUUUUGGCGGGUUAAAUAUUAAUGAGAUUAGUUGAAUAUAGGUAUGAAACAACGCAGCCGUAUAAAUAAAAAAUAUAUACAAAAAAUGAAACUAUACAGAUAUAAUCUAAUUUAAUUAACAGAUUGAGGAUAAUUAUUUUUUUAACGAAAAUAAAUAAUUGUGGAAUCAAUAUAAAAGAGAAGAGUAUAUUUCACUUUAGUAAAUUUUGGGGGGAAAAAUUGUAAGAUCACUCCAUGAUAUUGCGAAUAUGAACUACUCUAUGAACUAAUCUAAAUUUUUCAUAAAUUGUCAUUUCAGGUUUCGUUUUCAGCUGAACUAUAUAUGUGAUGUAAUGUACUAAUAAUCACCAAAAGCAGAUAAAAUCUAAUCUAAGAGCUGAGUUACAAGUGGAGAAAUAACCCACAUGAGGAAGGCCCACUUUUAGCGUCCAGGUUUUCGACACGUGUGUUUCUGGGACCACCAACUAGCUUCAGAAAACCCUAAUGAUAUCGUAAUUAUCUGAAAUGUUAUUUAUUUUUUUUAAGGCAAAUGUUAUUUUAUUUUAUCGAUUUACUAAUUAUCCCUCCCUGAAAAUGUUUAGCUUUUUCUGACUUGAGUGAAUAUGACAACUUUCGGUCCGAUCUUCUUCUUUCUUUACACUGAUCUUUGGUCGGAUCUUAUAAUAUAUUGAUACCACCACGGUUUAUUCAUUGUUUUUCUUUAUACACAAUCCUUUUUUUUUCCUUUCCUUUGUACCUACUUACCUCAGUGAGGAAUUAAAUACGUUUAAUAAAGAAAGAAAACUAUAAAUUAUAUACAGAACAAGUGUAAUUAAAAUUAAAUUGACGGUUGUUUUCUUUAGGUUUAUACAUAAACUCUACAAAUAAAAAGACAAAUCUGAAUGUGUGUGUAUAGUCACUAUAGUGGGGUAGGAGCAGGACCCACAAUGUCUAUUAGAAAGGCUACAACGCGUGCUAACUCUUUUUAUUAUUAAUCCCAAAUUUAUUAACUCUCUCUUUGCUUCCACAUGCCGUCACUUCACUUUAAGUCUUCUUAUUAUUUCUUUUACAUUUAUUCACAAUAGAUCAUAAUGACCAAAUCACCCCCUUGUUUUCACCAUUUAACUAUUCAUACUUUUGGGAUUCGUUUUAUGACCUAUAAUUAUUCAUAAACUAACCAACCGGGCACAUAAACAAGAAAAAAAAAACUAAAUAGGUUUUAGCAAAAAAUACGUGACUAUUUAUAAUAGCAACAAUGAGAAAUGUUUUAUAUUACGAUGUAACAAAUUGCUAUUCAUGUAUAGUACCCAUGUCCGUUCUUAUUCGUGUGUUCUAAUAUUAUCCAAUAUGAGGCAGACAAAUAUAAUUUUGAGUAUCUUCUGUAGUUUUUUUUUCAUCUAUUUCACAGACAAAAACAUUGUAAGUAACGGUCUAUCUGUACAGAAUAAACAGACAAUAAUUCAUGUGAUGUACUAUUCGAAACUUAGAUGUUGACCUGCAGAUUCAAACUUUGGAACUCUAAACAAAUCUGAUUUUAUUUAAGCCAAUAGAAGCAAUCAUCGUGCCCCUAAUUACUGUUAAGUAUUGUACUUGAUAUCAUGUUUGGUUUGGUUUUAGAAUUAUAGUUUAACUAAUUGUUUUUAUAUGAUUUUAUAUGAGUUUCCUUCUUGCUUCUCGUCUCACAUGGCUCCGCCUAAUCCAGCCAUCUCUUUUUCUCUACAAUAAUCACAUUUAACUGAUUUUUUAAUUUAAUAACAUACGCAUGCAUCCGCGGAAGGAAUCGUUUGAUUUUUUAUUACAACAUCCUGUAAUUAAAUAUUAACCGCAGAUCAAUAUAGUUUUAAAAAUUGUUGAAUUUUAUAAUAUUUGAGAUAUAGUAAUCAUUUUGGGAUCUAUAUUCAAGAAUUGCAUUAUUGCAAUAGCAAAACACGAUGCAAUGUGUUUCUUAAUGCACCGGCAAUUAGUUGAAACUUAAAAGAUUGGCUAGAUCUAUGAACUCCAAUAUAAAAUAUUAGUAUAUUUCACUUAUCCUAUUGUUACUAAUCAUAAUCAUUAGAAAACUUAAUUAGCAUCGUUGCCAUCUUUUGAGAUUGAUAUACAGAUUGAUGAACUUUUAGACCAAAUUACAUACACACAGAUUUUAUUAUGCUAAAUCUUUGGUAGUUCAUUAAUUUACAUGGAUUAAUCAAAAAGAUCUUUUUAAUGUAUUUAUACUUUUAGUUAAAAAUGUAUUUAUACUCUACACUCGUUACUUACACACAAACAUGAAUACAUCAUACAUGAUAGAUAUAAUUAUACAACAUAACAACAUUAUUAAAAUAACUCAAAUAGAGUAUAUAUACUAAUUCAAAUAUUCAUGUGACCAUGUGAGUAUAACUCAAUAGAGUAGUAAUCAUUAUCAUUUUUAUAUUUAAUAUGUAUUAUAAUUCAAACAUAACUACGAUAAGUCGGUGCGUAAUCGAAGUACCCCAUGUUAGCACAAGAUAUAUUUUUUUUUUAGAAAACUGGCCUUAGCACGAGAUUUCUUUGAGAGGAGAUUGCGAAACAAGUAGAAGACAAGCUAGAUUAAAAUAUAGAAAUAUAUUUUUAGUUUUAAUGAAACUUUUGAUGUCACUAAAUUCAUGCUGAUAGUUUUUUUUUUCGAGAGGUUUAAUUUGGAAUCUUAUGAAUUAAAUUAUAUUUCUUUUUUUUUUGUUAUGGUCCCUCUUUUUUUCAAUGGCCAUUGAUUUUAGAACAAAAGCGAAUCAUUUCACGCAGUUUAUAUUCAUUCAAUUUAUCUCAAAAAUUAUAUCACUAUUAGAUAAUCUAUGAAUUAAUCAGCUAUUGAUCCGUCUGCAUUUUCCGAAUCAUAUCCAGUAAAUCAAGAGUUAUUUUAACAUGUGUUUAUAGAAGCUUAAGCAAAAUUAUCACCAUCUAACGUAUUCGGUGUUACCUCAUCAAUUCAAAUUUCGAUAAUGUCAGCAAACGUUAAAGUCUUAAAAAAUCAUGCAUUAUCUUUACGAUCUUCAUUCAGAUGUUAGGUUUUUUCAAACGGAAAUGUUUUUCAGAUGUUAAGUUGGUCAUCUUAAAAUGCAUUUAGUCACUAGAGUAACUACACGAAAUGGUUAUAUGAAUCUAAGUUUCCUAAAACAUCAACCAUAUAAUUAUAUUUCCAUCAAAUAUAUACAAAAGUUUACGUACUCAUAUGUAGGCAAGUUGGAAAAACGCAAGACAGGAGAAAGGCAAAGAAAACCAAAAAACUAUUAUUCCAUUUAUAAAAAAGCUAACAAGUGAUAUACUAUAAGAGGAUGAUGAGGAUCUAUCUCAUUAAACUUGGUGUCAGAUGAAAAAAGAUAAUCAUGAGAUUUUUGGGUAUGGUUGGAUAAUAUCAUAAUACCCAGUACGGAAGAUGAUGGUGGAGAAUAUAUACGUCUUCAUUUAUAUUGGUAAAAGAAUAUACAGAAAUGGGAAUCAUUUGAAUUCCCCAAAAUAAUACAAAACGACACUAUUUUCAUAUUUUGUUACAAAAGAUAGUAGCUCUGUCUCCAAUUGGUUGUUAUUAUAAUAUUUUAUCUGUUUUAGUUUUUUAUAUGGUUACAUGCAUAUAUAUAUAUAUAUCUUGAUCAUGUCCAGUGAGGACUUGUCUGGAAUAUAUUGGCUAAAAAUCAUUUUCUUUUGUUCAUCAUUUGUCCAAAUCCUCUUGAUCUUCUCAGUUUUAUAUUAUAUCAACACAUCCAAUUAUUUUCAUACCCCUGCAUACACAUAUAAUAUUCAUAACCAAAUCGUCUUUCAUAAGACUUAGGAUUCUAUAUUAUCAGUAAUACCUAACAUAUGUAAAUUCUUGGGACAUUAAUUGAUUCAUUUUUUGAGUUAAAAGUUUAAACUACAAAAUAUAGUAGUUUUUUACAAUUCAUCUUUACUUGAAGAGUUUUAUUACUAAAAACCCUUUAUAUUUGUGGCAUAUAAAUUAAUUAAAAAGGCUCAUCUUCUGGAGAAUAUUCGAGACUAAAAUAUUAAGGUUAUAGUUAUACUAGUGAAUUCAUAAUAUUUAUAUAAAAGUGGUUAUUGUUUUCUCUGUCUAUUAGAGAGUGGAGAAAUAGAUGAACAUACAAACUUUUAGCAUAUGGAAACCCUCAGCAUUUUCCUUGCCUCCUUCACAAAUAUCACAGCCUGUCAAAAUUAGCCCUUUAAAACUACUAUUAAACUUCAUCACUAUAUAGGGGGUAUUUGCUUAUUAAUCUUUUAAUUAUUAUAAGCAUUUCCUUAGCUGUGAAUUCCCAUUAUCCCCCUCCUCUCUCGCCCCCUCUUUCUCUAUAUUUCUCUCUCCUUCCUCACUGCUUUACUCCUAUAUUGAUUGUUGACAAAGUCCUAAAGUGAUCUCUUAGAUUUUGGAUUAUUUAUUAAGUUAUGCUUUGGAGCGAAUUGUUGAAGAAACAUAUAGCAUAAGGUAAGUGUAUGCGUCUUAAACGGCUUCUAUAAGCUUCUCUAAGUGAGUUUUCUGGCAUGAACUCAGAGCCUUAGAACAUGAUCAAUGACCUUCUUUGGAGACAAUCACAGCUUGGCCACUCUUCUUUUCAGGCAUGGGAACAAAGAUCGUUGAGCGAAUUACGACAAACUCAUUUGGCUUAGAGAGUGUCGAUUGUAGUGGAUUCGUCAGAUUUGGUGUUGAUGAUCAACGAAAAUCUUCAAAGGAGAAUUGACCGACGACAAAGAAGAGAACGGAGUUUUUGUUUAAAGGUCAAUGGAUAGGUUUCUUGAAAAGCAAAGUGCUGAGUCCAUCAGACGGACAAUGCAAGCCCAAGAAGAUCUUUUCAAGCAACAGGUACGAGAGCUGCAUAGAGUAUAUAAUAUACAGAAGAAGAUGAUGGAGCAACUCAAACAUAGAAGCCAGUAUUGUACUACUAACAACCAAGACCAAACCGGUCCAAGAGAGAGAACCGGAAGCUGGUCAGGCAUAGUCCUGGAAAAUGUAGCUAGAGCCAGGAACACAACAACGGCGGAACAUGUUGAAGAAAGCGAACUAGAAUUGACAUUGAGCAUUGGAAUGUCUUCUUCCUCUAUGAACAAGGACAUGGACUACUCGUCGACGACGUCAUUCAGAUCAUCAUCGGAUAAUUGUAAUAAUCAGAGCAACAAUAUUAACUGUAAUAACCAAGAAAGUAGCGGACCAACCACGCCUAUGAGCAGCUCAAGUACGACGUCAUUGGACCGAGAGAAGAAGAGACCUCAUUGGCUCUUUCAGGGACUUAGUAUUAACCGGACUUCAUGAUUUUUGUUAAUUCACUGACUCUUUCUUUUUCCUUCUUCGACUUCUUCUUGGUUUUCUUCUUUUGUAUCUUAUUUGUUACUAUUAUUAUCUACCAGAUUUACUGAUACUUGUAUUAGCUCUAAUUAUUUUUUCUUAAUUGUCACCAAAAAGUCAAAAACCCAUUGACAAAAUAAACCAUCAAGUAUUUAUUUGAGCCUUCUUCAAUCGAAAAAUUUGAACAUGUAGAAUUAGAGAGCAUGAAUAUAUUAUUGUGUGUGUCUUAAAAUAAAAUAAAAACUAAUAUUUAUUGUGUUGUGUCUUAAUGACUUACAAGAUAAUUGUAUAUACAUAAAACUUAAACCUAUUUCAACUACGAAUAUAACUUAUUCAAACUUAAAAUAUAUAGCUAAAUCAUCUAAACAUUAUGAUAAAAUGAUAUAUAUAAUAUUCUUCGGCUGGGCUUGAUAGAUUUCACGAAUUUCAUUUCAUAAUAGUUGGACUCCAAAGGUCCAUAACAGACACAAUACAUCUCCAAUAUAACACAAAAUCUAUAUCUGAGAGCAUGAUUAACUCGGGUUCUUAAUUGAGAGUCUUAAUUUAUGAUGACACUUUUUUUUUUUACAUUUUUCGGUUAAGAGCUAGCUUUUAUAGUUUUUAUAUCUCUUAUUUAAAUAAUAGUUAUUAGCUUUGCUUAAUUAAAAGCUAAAAAACGCUUUUUAGCUCAAGUUAAGAAUCUCACCUUAAGAAUCCGGGUUUAUCAUGGCCUGACUAUGAUAUAAUAGCACAUGGUAUACACAAGCCUGUUUUUUCUUAACUGUUGUUCUUUCUCGUCCGUAAUAGUAAUCAAUUCGUCGUUUUCUUCAUUUCUUGAUCGGAAAAAGUUUAUUGUCACGGCUGAAGUGGCUCCAAGAAACAUGAAGAGAACGAGGGGUCGAACCCACCGCCGACACCAGCUGCCACCGCAGGACCAGGGGCAAAGAAGGAAAACGGUGACAAUCCCCAACCGCCGCAUCCAUAUCCAUAACCACCGAUCAAAGGUGGUGCGACCGGAGGAUUAACGUAGAUGUUGGUCCUAUAAACAGAAAAAUGCGUUAGUGAUAUAAAGUAGUCUUUAUCCUUUUUUUUUUUGUAACAGAAUAAUUUAAGCCACUGAACCUAAGAGGAUAACUUAAGAGCAUCUCUAAUGUAAAACUCUAUUUUUUCCUUCAAAAUGGAGUAAAAGUAAAAAUGAAGUAAAAUUGCUUUAACCCUACUCCAUUUCCCACUCUAUAAUGGAGUGAUGAACAAACAAAAAAUAGUUUACUCCAUUUAUGGAGUAAAUUUCAUUAUGGAGUGAGAUAUGAAGUUGGAUUGGAGCAUUCCUUACUCCAUAUUCACUUUUACUCCAUUUUAGUCUUUAUCCUCCAAACGCCAACUUUUGUGUGUUUGGCUGUUUGCAUUUACUUUUGCAUUUACUUACAUAUGAAAAAGCAUUCACAAGACAAUCAUUUGUCUAAAAUCUAUAUCAUUUUUGUUCUUCGUUUUUUUUUAAUGAUUAAUCAAAAAAAAAUUGUUCAUAAAGCUAACGGUUAUUUGAAAAAAAAAACUGCAUAACCAAGGUGUAACCUUCGUGGUUUGGUGUUUUGUAUCCAAAGUAUCUCUAUAAUAUUAUUUGACAAGUCAGUUUCCUACGUGUCGCGCUUACGUUAAUUCUUACAACGGCUAUUUACAGAAGUACCCUUAAUAAAUGAAACUAUUAUUUCAAAUUGACAUUAUUAAAGCUAUUUAAUAAUUUAUUCCAUUUAAAUUUUAGUAUCCUUUGUAUAUUUUGUUAAAUUAUAUAUAAUAAAAAGAAAAUAUUCAUAUAAUAAAAACGAAGUUAAUAUUUACAAAAACGAAUAUAGUUAUUCCAAUUUACAUUUUAAAUUUUAGUUUCCUUUUUUAUUUUUUUUCUAAAUAGCAUAUAUAAUAAAAAAGAAAAUGUUCAUAUAUUAAAAACGAAAAUACUAUUUACAAAAGGAAAGACAAGGUUUUUUAUAAAAAAAUAUUUAUAUAAUGUGAUUUCAUAAAAAAUAAAGUUCACAAAAAACAGUUUGAUGUUAAAAAAGAUAACCUCUCUUUAAAACAUAAUAUUAAACAACAGAAUAUAUAUUAAUUAAUAAAAAUAUUGUAUUUAUGUCAGCCAUUUUCUUAGAUUUUUACAAAAGGUAAUUUAAGUAACAUAUACUAAAAUAUCACUGAUGAACUAAAAAUAUUUUAUAAUUGAUACGAAUGAGAUGUUUAUUCAAUUUUAUAAAAUUUCUUUUUGUUAAACUUUUAACUAUGAGUUUUCAAAAUUUUACAAAUCUACAAAUAUCAAAUUAAACAAAAGAAUUUACAAAGUUUUAUAUAUAUUUAAAUAAAAAUCUGAACUAAUGAAAUAAAUAAAAUCAAAUUUAGUUUAACUAGAAUCAAAAGUAAUCGUGCUUCGAAUUGAAAACAUAUGUGUAGUUUAAUAUCAUCCACAAAUGAGUAAUUUAGACAAUAUAUAUUUUAAAGUCCAAGACCAAAAUAUAAAUGUAAAAAAUAAAACUUAAUCAAAAUAAUAAUCUAUAUUAGCACAAAAAAUACUACGGUUAAAUAUGGAGAAUUAAAUACAAUUCAAUAUACCAAAGUAAUAAUCACAUCAUCGACUAAAGAUAUUAUAUAUUCAAAUUUUAUGUCUAAUUAAAAUUAUAUAAUGUUAUUUAAAAUAAAUCAAACAUAUAAAUUAAAAUUAGAGUAUUAGUAAUGAAAAUAUUUUUAUUUGUAUAUAUUUAUAUCCGUGCAUGAGCACGGGAAAAUCACCAAGUUAAAAAUAUACGGAAUACAAAUGCUUUAAAGUUUGUUAGUAAUGGGCUAGUAUCAUAUACUUUGAAUUUCGAGAAUGUUAAACAAGUCUAAAAUAGAGAGCUUCAGAUAACAAAAAAAAAAAAAUAUAAUUACCUCGAUCGGUUGUUAAUUCUAGGUGGAGCCGUCGAGGCCUAGGAGCAGAAGACCGAAACGCUUGACCGCCAAUUCUUCCACCGCUCUUAGCCGCAGACGCAACUCCAACGGAUCCCAAAGCCAAAACGCUAACCGCUAACGUCGCGAUUGCCAAUUUCGCCAGCUGAUUCUCAUUUCUCCUAACAAAUAAAUAAAUAAUUCUUGAAUAAGGUAAAUUAAAAUUAAAACGGAUAAAUUCUAUAGAAAAGUAAAGAAUAUUACCUCGGUCAGAUUCGUCUUCAUGGUGUGGAGCUUUGCAUUGCAACUGAUUAUGUUUGGGUUUGAAACUGUAUCGGAAACUGAAAAAAGUUUGAUAAGAAGCUUUGUCGUGAAGAAGCUAUAGCUCCAAGGUACAUGUUUAUUGUCUCACUGUACUUUUUGUUCUAGAAGCUUUCUUUCCUUUUUUCUAAAGGAUCUUUCCUCGGCUUCUCGGUUUCUUUUCUAGCUUUGGGUUUGUGAUAAAGCGAUUGCCACGCGACUACAUGAGUUACAACUUAGUGGUCGUCUGAUCAAGAACACAUGCAUCCAAGGAUUAUGAUAUCCGUUUAUGUAUAUCUUAUCGGUCUGAAGAUAAUUGAACCGCUACUCAUCAAAUCGGAUCCCAAUCUUGGACCAAGAAAGAAUAAUGGGAAUGUUAUUCUAUGUGCAUUUUGAUUGCCUUUUUUUUAUCUUUCUCACCGAUGCUACUUACUUUAGUGAUUCCAUAAAACUUUAUAUUUAGGCCAUUGGUAUAAGUCUUACUGCGCGGGAUAAAAUUAUAUAUAAAUUACAUUUAGGUAUUAUAUAUUUUUUACAUAUCAUAAAAUAAUAAAUAUAUAUUGAACAAUUAAAAAAAAUUUAGUAACUAUAACGUAUAUAAUUAAAUUAAUACAAAUACAUAAAUAAAUUUUAUUAAUCCAAACAAACAAUUUUUCUAUUUUAUAUGGUAUAUAAUUAAGUUUAAAUGAUAUUAACAUAGAUAUAUAGUAAAUUUUUAAUAUUCAUAUCUGUUAAAUAAUAUUUUAUAAUCAUAUUGUUUUUGAUCAUUUCUAUUUUUCUUAUAACAAAAAUUUUAAUUCACUGAUAACAAUUUUUUUUGUGGAAUGUUCAAUAGUUUUAGCAAUUUAGUAAUUUAUAAUUUUGAAAAAAAUCUAAAUAUUAAGUUGUGAAUAUUUGUUCAAAGCUUUUAUAAAAAAAGUAAUUUUAAAAAUAAAAUAUUUAUGUAUUUUAUAUUGUAUAUAAUAUAUUUUAAAUGAUAUAUAUAUAUAUAUAUAAUUUAUAUAUUAAUAUUUAUUAAAUGAGACUUUUUACUUAUAUAAAUUUGUAAUAAUUUGUAUCUUGUCAUAACAUAAAUUAUAAACCAUGGAGCACAAAAAAUCCAAUGUGAGAUUUAACAGCUAUAGUCAUGUAUACUCAUUUAAAAAAAUACAAAAUAUAAUAUGUAUGAAAAAAUUAAAAAUUUUAUUAUAUAGUUAAAGAGUUUGUUUAAUUUAUUUUAAUAAGUUAAAAUCUAAAAAAUGAUAAGAGUAUAGACUAGUUUUUAUGAAAUUUUUAUUAUUCAUACAUUAAUUGUCAUAUAUACUUCAGUCACAUUAGAUAAUUUCGUAAUUUUUAUUUAAGGAAAUUAUGAAGAAUUUUAAUAACUAAUUUAUGAUUAAUUUAAUAAAAAAUUAUUUAAACAAGAAUGUUGCACCAUUUCUUUGACUAAUAAUAUUUUAGUCUUAUUUUAAAUUUGACUAACAAUAUGUUAUCAUAUAUUUAUCUAAUAAUAAUUUAAUCAAUUUAAUAGGUGGUAUAACUAGAUUUCUUAAAUUUUAUGAGAUUUUCCUUAAAUAAAAAUAUUUUAAAUUUUUUUUAACAUGAUACAAAGCCAUCGUAUAUCUUUCUAAAGCUUUUGCGAACUUCAAUGCUUCGUUGAGAUUUGUGUUUGCUUAAUUUUCUCCAUUUGCGUUUUUCUUUUCAUAUUUUUUUUUCUUUGCACUUUUACAUUUAAAAUUAUAAAGGGUAUAUGGUCGUUGUCAGUGUAAACCAUAAUUUUAAUAACUUAAAACACUCAUAUUAGUUUGCAUUUAACCAACCUGCAAUUAAUAUUAGAAAAAUAUCCACAUAUUAAAAAUAGUAGUUACAAAACAUAUGUCAUUAAUAUACUAUUAAAGAAUCAUAAAUUAAAUAGUCUAUUUAAAUUUAUGUGCUAUUAAAAGUAUAUCAAAAACUGAAUUAUAUUUUUAAAUAUUAUUUAUAUGGGUUUUUAUCGUGUCAGAAACUAUCGAAUCGCGGAUUAAUGACAAGUUUUCUGAUUUUACUGGGUUUUAUCUGGUUUUCCAAUAUUAUAUUUUAACUGAAUCUGAACUGGAUUAUAUACGGAUCACCGGAUUUACCGGUUCGAUUGUAUGUCUGAAUCACAAAAACACUGUUAAAAAUUAUUAAACCCCAUAAAAUAUAUACUAUUAAUUUAGUCCAAAAUCUACCAAGUAAAUCUUACGUCUAACCAAUUCAACAGAUGUAACUCUUAUAAAAUGAAUAUCUAAUUAUAUAAAGUACACCUUGAAUCUCUCCCACAGUGUCCAGCUAUGAUGCCAUGUCACUAUUUCAGAUGCUCUCGAGCUGACACGUGGCUAUUUUAACAAAAACACAGCGGUUCAUUAAAGCUUCGUUGUACAUGCAUCACUUCUUUAAAGAUCCGUCGUCAUGGGUUUUGUUUGUAAAUAUUGUGCAAUUGGGCUUUAAAUUGGAAAUUAUCCGGGCCCGGCGUGAAGGAGACCCUCUAACCCUAAUCCGCUGCAGUGAUGAAACGAAGUCUGUCUAUCCUCUACCUACGUGCGACGCGCUGCAGCGACGUUCACGAUUUCUCACCAUCUGAAACAGUCUGAGUAAAGGCUACUUGAUUACUCCCAUUGAUUCACACCCCCCACUCCGUCUUCUUCAAUGCUGUUUGAUCUGAGAUGUUGUGGUUUCGGUAUAAAUAUGUUCCGGCAAGUGCUCCUCCGUCGUCGAGGCGAGGCUCCUGUGGUUUCGGUUCUGGGGAGACCAGAAAUGUUAAGCCUGGUGGUGAACUGGUGUGGGUCGAUAUGUUAAUGGUUGACGUGAAUGUGACCCAUAUAUAUAUAUAUAUCUAUGACGUAUAUUUCAAACUUCGCUAUCGUGUUGAGAUGGCUAUUGCUGAUGAUACUGCUGCAGGAACAUUUGUUUGGUUUGAUGGUGUGAUGAAGAAACUACAUAAUCUCAGAGCAAGUGAGGCUGUUCAGAUGCUGGCUGAAGAUGGAGUGAACUCUGAAGACUCUAGGAGACUAGGAUACCUUCGUUCAUUUCAGAUAUGGAAAGAAAGUCAAUACACUUUCCAGGUGAGGGUCACUGCUUAUAACUUACCCGGCAAUCAUAAGACGUUUACCAUAACAUGAUAUAUGAAGCAACGUUUCAGAAAGAAACAACAAUAUUGAUAUUCAGCAUUGUUGAUGAGCUUGGUCGUGUGCGAGACGAUGACGUGGGUGACAAUGGAGGUAACGAGGAUGAUGAUGACAACAUGCCUAAUGGCAAGCCAGCUCCUGUUGGGUUUGCAUCUGGAAGGGCCACUGGUAAUGGAUCAGAUGGGUCUAUACGGUACUGCGCGUAAGAAUCCGGACGUCUCAUCCUCUAAGGUGGUCAAGAAGGCGCGUGUUGCUUAGGAUGUAGCAGUAACAAAUUUUUGAUCAGAAUCUCAGUUUUAAUAAUACUUAUGCAUCUUUGUUUAAUUUCAAGUAUUUGGAUAUUUAUGUUUUAGAUAUUCCCAAUUAUAUGGGUACUUUUAAGUUUGUUUCAGUCUUUAUUCACUUUUAUAU